GGGGUUGUAGCUCUGUGGUAGAGCACUUGCUUAGCAUGUGUGAGGCACUGGGUUCGAUCCUCAGCCCCA
rnacentral:tRNA from 1 species